UACGUAGGUGGCAAGCGUUGUCCGGAUUUACUGGGCGUAAAGGGCGUGCAGGCGGUUUGUUAAGUGCAGGGUGAAAGCUCCCGGCUCAACUGGGAGAGGUCCUUGCAUACUGGCAGACUUGAGGGAGGCAGAGGAAAGUGGAAUUCCCGGUGUAGUGGUGAUAUGCGUAGAUAUCGGGAGGAACACCUGUGGCGAAGGCGGCUUUCUGGGCCUUACCUGACGCUGAGACGCGAAAGCGUGGGGAGCGAACCGG
rnacentral:rRNA from 1 species